CGCAUGAAGUCGGAAUUGCUAGUAAUCGCGGAUCAGCAUGCCGCGGUGAAUACGUUCCCGGGCCUUGUACACACCGCCCGUCACACCAUGGGAGCCGGUAAUACCCGAAGUCAGUAGUCCAACCUCGUGAGGACGCUGCCGAAGGUAGGAUUGGCGACUGGGGUGAAGUCGUAACAAGGUAGC
rnacentral:rRNA from 1 species